rnacentral:rRNA from 1 species
UACGGAGGGUGCAAGCGUUAUCCGGAUUCACUGGGUUUAAAGGGUGCGUAGGUGGGUUGAUAAGUCAGUGGUGAAAUCCCCGAGCUUAACUUGGGAACUGCCAUUGAUACUAUUGAUCUUGAAUACCGUGGAGGUCAGCGGAAUAUGUCAUGUAGCGGUGAAAUGCUUAGAUAUGACAUAGAACACCAAUUGCGAAGGCAGCUAACUACGCGAAUAUUGACGCUGAGGCACGAAAGCGUGGGGAUCAAACAGG